UUGGAGGGCAAGUCUGGUGCCAGCAGCCGCGGUAAUUCCAGCUCCAAUAGCGUAUAUUAAAGUUGUUGCAGUUAAAAAGCUCGUAGUUGAAUUUCGGGAUUGACGUGACGGUCGUGCCUUACGGGGUAUGAACUGUCGCAGUUGAUUUCUCACCUUCUGGAGAAGCUCGAUGUCCUUAAUUGGGUGUCUUGCGGAACCAGGACCUUUACCUUGAAAAAAUUAGAGUGUUUAAAGCAGGCAUUUUUGCUCGAAUACAUUAGCAUGGAAUAAUAGAAUAGGACGGCAUGGUUCUAUUUUGUUGGUUUCUAGGAUCACCGUAAUGAUUAAUAGGGAUAGUUGGGGGCAUUAGUAUUCAAUUGUCAGAGGUGAAAUUCUUGGAUUUAUUGAAGACUAACUACUGCGAAAGCAUUUGCCAAGGAUGUUUUCAUUAAUCAAGAACGAAAGUUAGGGGAUCGAAGACGAUCAGAUACCGUCGUAGUCUUAACCAUAAACUAUGCCGACUAGGAAUCAGACGAUGUUAAUUUUUUAAUGACUCAUUCGGCGCCUUACGGGAAAC
rnacentral:rRNA from 1 species